UUUAUAUAUUGUAUAUGUAAAACAUAAGUCGAACAUCAAACUCAAAACGAUAUUAAACUAUAAAAAAAAGGAGAGGCUUCCCUUAUUCUAUUUAAUUAUAUGUUUUUCUUAAAUUAGGGGUAGUUCUAAAAAAACACAUAAUUAAAUGGAAGUGGGAACUGUAACAGUAACUUUUGUUUGAAAGCGAUGGCAAAAAGAGAGUGAGAAGAAGGAGGAUAACGUUCUUUCACAUUCGAGGGCGUUCUUAGAUUACUCGAGAAAGACUUAUGAUUUGAAGCAUACACUUUCGAUGUCCACAAGUGCUUAAAAGAGGCUGGUGAUGGUGAUGGCCCAAAUGUAUAUGAGGAGAACGGGGCAAGCACACAAGAGACAGAAAAACCAAAAGAAGAAUGCCAAUCAAAAGAUGAAAAUGAUGUUUGCCUUGAAGACAAGGAGAAAACGGAAGGCCUUCUUAAAGAACGAAAAGGAGUUAAACUUGAAACCAUGGAAGUAAAAGGCAACAAGAGCAAAGGAGUUCCAAUAAUUCUUAAGGUAUGACAUUGGGUGCUUUUCACAAGAGAAACCUUCAAAGAAGAAAGAAGUUUCAACUCCUGUGUAGGGUAAACGUGUGGAACACCUAAAAUCUGUUACUAAAGCAUUUGGAAUGAGGCAGGCUCCUGAAGCAGGCGUGAAGGUCAACUAAUAAAGGAGUUGGAAGAAAUACUGCGCAGGGAAGGAUUAUCUUCAAAUCCCUCUGAAAAGGAAAUCAAGGAAGUGCGAAGGAAGCAGGACAGAGCAAAAGAACUUGAGGGUAUUAUAUGAGCAAUAUAGUGUCAAGUUCACGUAGAAGGUCAACAACUAGCUUUGUAGCUCCUCCACCUCGGAAGCCAAAGACCCUAGAAAUGGUGCUAAAGAUAGUGAGAAUGAUGGCAAAGAUGAUGAAGAAGAUAGUAGUGACGACGAGGGAAGCCAGAGUGAAGAAUUAAAUGAAGAUGGCACAGAUUUAGUGGUAGGAACAUGAGGACCACUAACACUCGUGUCUGCUUCAUAGACCUCAAUGUCACUGUCCUCAACAAGUUCAGUGUUUUCAAUAGAAUAAAUGGGGUGCUUGAAGUAUAUGUGCAUUUGAUAUACGUUCAGUUUAUGUCCCGCAUCAUAAACUUUGUUGCCUACCCUCAACAAUGUUGUCACCAUACGAUUGAUGUCUCGGUCAGUGACAAGUGGGUUAAGGGCAGUUUCUAAAUAAUUAUCCUUAGGGUGCUUCCACAUCAUACUUUCGUACUCAUAAUAGCCAUGGUCUUUGAACAAUGUGUUCAUGUCCUUCAAGUUCACGAAGUCAACGUCUACUGGUGGAAAUUUUCGAACACCAUAAUUUAUGUACUCGAAAUUGUUGUGUUCAUCCCUGACAAAGUCACCACCAUGAUGAUACAAUAGGACAACAUGUUCUGCCAUUUGCAAUAAACAAUUAGUGCAAAAUUAGCACAACAUUACCAUUUAAUGUACAAAAUUACCACAAAAUUGCCUUGGACCCCACACAAUAAACAAUUAGUCCAGUAAGAGAUCACAUGAUCUACCAAUUAGUGCAGAAUGCAAUAAACAAUUACUAAAUGUAGUACACAAUGGACCACCACAAUAAAGUGCAGUAAACACAAGGCGAAACGCAUUAGGAAAUAUUAAAUUGCAUUCACAUGGACCCCCAUAUUCCACACAAGACAACAAUGGACCCCCACAGUGAAUACAAUGCAAUAAACAAUGGACCCCCCCCCAAUGAAACGCAUUAAACAACGAAUACAUGAGUAAUAAACAACAGACAAAUGCAAAAAAAUGCAAUUUCGAAACAAAUGACAAUGUGAAUCGCAAAAAAAUGCAAAACAGAAACGAAUGAGAAACGAAAUAAAAUACCUUACUAUCUUUAGCUAGCGAUUGCGAAACAAAUGACAAUGUGAAUCGAUUGAAAAGCGAAAAUGGAGUGAGAAUCGCAAAAUGCCCUUAUCUUCUUAUUCAGAGAUGAAAAUGGCAAGGGGAGUGAAGGGUUUUGCAUUUCAACGUAUUACCCUAUAAAACGAC
rnacentral:lncRNA from 1 species